UACAGAGGUCUCAAGCGUUUGUUCGGAUUCAUUGGGCGUAAAGGGUGCGUAGGCGGCGCGGUAAGUCGGGUGUGAAAUCUUGGAGCUUAACUCCGAAACUGCAUUCGAUACUGCCGUGCUUGAGGACUGGAGAGGAGACUGGAAUUUACGGUGUAGCGGUGAAAUGCGUAGAUAUCGUAAGGAAGACCAGUGGCGAAGGCGGGUCUCUGGACAGUUCCUGACACUGAGGCACGAAGGUCAGGGGGAGCAAACGGG
rnacentral:rRNA from 1 species